AUGUUCUGGUCUGAUCACUGGUUGCAGGGUAGAACAACUGCUGAGUUGGCUCCAAACCUAUUCAAGUUGAUCUCUAAAAGAGCUGUCAAGCAUCGGACUGUUGCACAAGCUUUGAAGAAUCGCAGAUGGGUUGCGGACAUUAAAGGAGCUCUCACUGUACAAGCCCUAAGGAGCUCUCACUGUACAAGCCCUAAUUGA
rnacentral:rRNA from 1 species